GCAAACUUGGUCAUUUAGAGGAAGUAAAAGUCGUAACAAGGUUUCCGUAGGUGAACCUGCGGAAGGAUCAUUACUGCAUUGUAUCUGUGUGCUGUGAACGCCGACGUGUAUUGUGUGUGGGUGUUGUUAUCGGGCAGUUGAUGAGCAGUUGACUCGUAGCGAUACAACAUCCCCGCACAACCUACUAUUACCACUACACUCACCUCAACGAUACCAACAAUACUACCAAUCAACAACUUUUAGCAAUGGAUCUCUAGGCUCCCACAUCGAUGAAGAACGCAGC
rnacentral:misc_RNA from 1 species